rnacentral:rRNA from 1 species
CCGUGCAUGCUAGUACGGCGAGUGAGCGGCACAGCUCAAAUUUGAAAUCUGGCUUCGGCCCGAGUUGUAAUUUGCAGAGGAAGCUUUAGGCGCGGCACCUUCUGAGUCCCCUGGAACGGGGCGCCAUAGAGGGUGAGAGCCCCGUAUAGUUGGAUGCCUAGCCUGUGUAAAGCUCCUUCGACGAGUCGAGUAGUUUGGGAAUGCUGCUCAAAAUGGGAGGUAAAUUUCUUCUAAAGCUAAAUACCGGCCAGAGACCGAUAGCGCACAAGUAGAGUGAUCGAAAGAUGAAAAGCACUUUGAAAAGAGGGUUAAAUAGCACGUGAAAUUGUUGAAAGGGAAGCGCUUGUGACCAGACUUGCGCCGGGCAGAUCAUCCGGUGUUCUCACCGGUGCACUCUGCCCGGCUCAGGCCAGCAUCGGUUCUCGCGGGGGGAUAAAGGCAUCGGGAACGUGGCUCCUCCGGGAGUGUUAUAGCCCGUUGCGUAAUGCCCUCGCGGGGACCGAGGUUCGCGCAUCUGCAAGGAUGCUGGCGUAAUGGUCAUCAGCGACCCGUCUUGACCCACCGGACCA